GAUUAACGCUGGCGGCGUGCAUAACACAUGCAAGUCGAACGAUGAAACUUAACUGAUUUCUUCGGAAUGAUUUUAAGUGGAUUAGUGGCGGACGGGUGAGUAACGCGUGAGUAACCUGCCUUGGAGAAGGGGAUAGCCUUUGGAAACGAAGAAUAAUACCCUAUGAUAUGAUAAUAUCACAUGAUAUUAUCAUCAAAGAUUUAUCGCUCUAAGAUGGACUUGCGUCUGAUUAGUUAGUUGGUGAGGUAACAGCUCACCAAGGCAGCGAUCAGUAGCCGGCUUGAGAGAGUGUACGGCCACAUUGGGACUGAGACACGGCCCAGACUCCUACGGGAGGCAGCAGUGGGGAAUUUUGCACAAUGGGGGAAACCCUGAUGCAGCGACGCCGCGUGAUUUAGAAGGCCUUCGGGUUGUAAAAAUCUUUUGUAUGGGAAGAAAAUGACAGUACCAUACGAAUAAGGACCGGCUAAUUACGUG
rnacentral:rRNA from 1 species